UGAUUAGAGUGAUUCAAGUGACAAUGGGUAUAUUUUUUGCUUCAGGGAUCUUUGCCUAUAGAAAACCCGCUAUCAUGAAAGGAUUCAAUUUGCGGUUACCCCCAAAGAUAGUGAAAAGGGGACGGCCUAAGGGGGCAGAAGUUACUGUAAUUGGUUUACCAAAAAAAAGAUCAUCAAGAGUCAUACCUUUUCUCAAAAGAGCACCUAAGGAAAAGGAGAAGGCGAUUCUAUCAUGGAUUCUGAGGGACGAAAACGGCACACUUGAUGACAUUAUUUCUGAUAAAACACAGGCCGAUGCCAAUAAUCUUCUAGAUGCUUCGUUAAUAAAUAACAAAAUAUUUGACGAAAAUGUAAACCUUCAGCGCAUCAAAAAAUAUUUUACCUCUGAAGCGUGGAAACAACUUAAAAUUCGGAUCAACGAAAGAAGAGAAUCGUGCAAAUGGAUAUGUAUCAAAUGUAAAAAAAACCUACAUGAUCAGGACUCUUUGGCCUGUGAUUGUUGUUUGGACUGGCAACAUUUGAAAUGUGCAGGGUUGAAAUAUGUGCCAAAACAAUCAUAUUGGAUAUGUAAAAUUUGUUCCAAGUCUUAAUUAGUUACAUGAAUCUUUUAUAAUUGGUUUAAUUUGACAUUAUUACUUGCUUCUUUAAUUUUUAUAUAGACACCCAAGCUUUAAUUUUAGUCAUUUAAGAUAUUUGAAAAUUUCAGUUUCUUUUUUAUAUUUUACUAAAAGAUUAUUUUUAAAUCUCAUAUGGGUAUUUUUCAAAAUCAGUAAAAUUUUAUUCUUUAGAUUUGCAUUUACAUUUUAUAAUAGUAUUAAUUUUUAUCAUGUUUUUCUUUUACAGGGACUGUACAGUUUCAUUUUCCAUCAGUGUGCAAUGUUAAUUAUGUAUCAUUAUCUAAUAAAUACAAUUUGAAAAUAUUAUUUUUCAUACUCUUCACUCGUUCUACACGAAAUCCCCAUAUUAUCGAUACUUUCCGUAUAUAUUUCACGUUUCAUUCCCGAUCCGAUGGCAUUUUAUUAUAAAACCGGAUGUGGGUACGCGUAGCCUAUGAAUGGCAAUUUGACUAUUCGUACCCGCAUGCGGGUACGCGCAGACACUGCCUUUCGCGGAACCCAGUGUCUCGCCUACUUUUGCUGUUAGUCGCAGGCUCAACAAAAAUGGGG